AUUGAACGCUGGCGGCAGGCCUCACACAUGCAAGUCGAACGAGUGGCGGACGGGUGAGUAAUGUCUGGGAAACUGCCCGCUGGAGGGGGAUAACUACUGGAAACGGUAGCUAAUACCGCAUACCAUCGGAUGUGCCCAGAUGGGAUUAGCUAGUCGGUGGGGUAACGGCUCACCUAGGCGACGAUCCCUAGCGGGUCUGAGAGGAUGACCAGCCAGACUGGAACGGAGACACGGUCCAGACUCCUACGGGAGGCGGCAGUGGGGAAUAUUUCACAAUAGGCGCAAGCCUGAUGCAGCCAUGCCGCGUGUAUGAAGAAGGCCUUCUGGUUGUAAAGUACUUUCAGCGAGGAGGCGUUACUCGCAGGAGAAGCACCGGCUAACUCCGUACCAGCCACCGCGGUAAUUC
rnacentral:rRNA from 1 species